rnacentral:snRNA from 1 species
GUGCUCUCUUCAGCAGCACGUAUACUAAAAUUGGAACAAUACAGAGAAGAGUAACAUGGCUCCUGAGCAAGGAUGACACACAAAUUCGUGAAGCAUUCCAUAUUAAA